UGUGCCCUACGGGGGGCAGCAGUAGGGAAUCUUCCACAAUGGACGAAAGUCUGAUGGAGCAACGCCGCGUGAGUGAAGAAGGGUUUCGGCUCGUAAAGCUCUGUUGGGAGUGAAGAAAGAUAGAGGUAGUAACUGGCCUUUAUUUGACGGUAAUUACUUAGAAAGUCACGGCUAACUACGUGGCAGCAGCCGCGGCAAUACGUAGGUGGCAAGCGUUGUCCGGAUUUAUUGGGCGUAAA
rnacentral:rRNA from 1 species